GUUUGUGGAAACACCACGUAAAUUUAUUACUGCAAAGCUUACGGAUCGAAAGCUUUGCAGUAAUAAAUUUACGCGGUGUUUCCACAAACAAAACCUA
rnacentral:miRNA from 1 species